GUGUCAGCCGCCGCGGUAAUACGGAGGGUGCGAGCGUUAAUCGGAAUUACUGGGCGUAAAGUGAGCGCAGGCGGUUAUGUAUGUCGGAUGUGAAAGCCCCGGGCUCAACCUGGGAAUGGCAUUCGAAACUGCGUAACUAGAAUAUGGUAGAGGAAGACGGAAUUUCACGUGUAGCGGAGAAAUGCGUAGAUAUGUGGAGGAACACCAAUGGCGAAGGCAGUCUUCUGGGCCAAUAUUGACGCUCAGGCUCGAAAGCGUGGGUAGCAAACAGGAUUAGAUACCCCAGUAGUCC
rnacentral:rRNA from 1 species